rnacentral:rRNA from 1 species
UACGGAGGGUGCGAGCGUUGUCCGGAAUCACUGGGCGUAAAGGGCGCGUAGGUGGCGCUGCAAGUCAACGGUGAAAGCUCGACGCUUAACGUCGAGUCGGCCGUCGAGACUGCGGGGGCUCGAGCACUGUAGAGGCUCAUGGAAUUCCGGGGUGUAGCGGUGGAAUGCGUAGAGAUCCGGAAGAACACCGGUGGCGAAGGCGGUGAGCUGGGCAGUUGCUGACACUGAGGCGCGACAGCGUGGGGGAGCAAAACAGG